rnacentral:lncRNA from 1 species
CUAAAGUCCUGCAUUAAACACCAUCUAGCGAAGAAGGAAUCAAAGACGAAAUGCUGCCAUCUAGCAAUAAAAAAGGAAAGGCUUACACGGAACUGACGGAACCAAAGUAAAAGUAAACACCAACAUGGCGGCGACCGGCGAGGUGUGAACCGUGAAGUGUUGGCUGUCGUUCAAUCGUUCUAUUAACUACCUGUCACUUAUUUUCCUUGCACUGAAUAACUCUCAAGUCUCAAGUUAUUUUAUAGUCUUUCAGUAACUAAGCUUAGAAAAGCGCAAGUGGAACAUGUGAUUAGCACUUAGCAGCAAGAGUUGGAAUGAAGAACAGUUCAGCAGGCCUACAAUUGGACAACUCUGACAGUGAGGAACUUUUGGGAGUUGCUGUUGAUUUCUAUCUCCGAAGUCAGAAUUUCUCAGAAAAUUAUAAAUUACUUGAUACAUCAGUCUUCAAUGAAAUUGGAUAGAAAGGAGGAGAAUAUUCCAGCCGCUGUGGUUGCUGAUCCGUUCAGAAUCCAUUCGAGUGAUUGAAAUCGGACUUGGGACUAACGACGCCUUGUGGACAGCUGGCCAUUCGUAUUGAAGUGGAGACAAUGAUGAUCCGGACGUCGAGCAGUUAAUUGGUUCCACGGGUGGAACAGCCGGAGGAUCCGAAUAAAAUCCAGGAGUUGGAAGGACUUGAGUUGAGACAGACUAACUUGUCGACUUUGACGAGAAACGCAAGGCGUUGAUCGACGAUGUUGGCGAUUUGUUUCAAGACUUGAUGUUGAGACUCGUGAAGAUCCAAGUUGGCGGGCUCGUCGACGGCAAUUCUGAAACCACCACUGAUGCAAUCAAAAAGAGAAAUUAAUUUUGAACAGGUAACUUGAUUAAAAAAAAAAUAAUCAAAAUGCCACACCAUAAUCGAUUUCUCAGAAACUCCAAUCAGCUGGGCCAUUCGGCGACGACCUUCUCGAUUGGGAAACGGAUCUCUGGUGAGCUCUGCGUCGAGUAGCUCCACCUGAACCUGGAUUAGGAGGUCUGUUUCGUUCUUUAGCGAAGGGGUUGCUCCUUUUCCGACUUUGAAAGGAUUAUUUACACUUUCGUGAAGAGAUGGUAGUAACUGAGUGACAUAAAAAUGCCUCAUUCCUUCUUAAGGCUGUAUGCAUUAACCUAAUAACUAAUCAAUUGAGUGUAUUUAGGUUUACUGAAUUUUUUGCAAGUAAAAAGCGGAAGUACUCAAUCGGCAUUGCUGUCCAGGAUCAACAGCUUAUUUGAGAAUUUAGGUAUUAACCUUGGAGUUUCUUCUCGUCUUUACCGAUAUCAGAUAAUUCAAAAUAUCCAGCCAGUUCGGCGUUUGACUUCUCAAUGGUUCCCAGCUGAAAAUGGAUUGUUAAACGAAGAGUAAUUUUAUAAGAUUUCUUUAUAAGCGAAGUGUGUAGAAGCCCACAAGGAAGGACACAAGAAAAUGUUUUAAAAAUCACUUUGAUUAUAAAGUUCGUGAGAAAAAAAGGUUUUGAGGUGAAAGAAGCAAACUCGCUUCGUUCUCACGUCCCUCACACGGUAAAAAACCAUUCGUUGCCGUAAGUUAGGACAAUAGUGACCCAACGACCCCAGUUCCUUGAAGGUGGCAGUCACGACAUUAGGUGAAUAAUUGUGAGUUGAAGAUAAGUCGUUUGGAGGUGCAACACAGUUGGAGUAAAACAUUGGAUUGGGUACAGAAGAUGAACAGAAAGGAUGGAGGAGAGUAUUUGCAGUUGUUCCAGUAAUAGGAGGAAUAGUAUUGUUGCUUUGACUGCUGUUCCGG